UCGUAGUAUGAAAUCAAAACGCGACUUUGAAUCAACAAAACUCGUAACUACUUCACCAUAUGGUAUAUAGAUAUAAUAGAGUUUUUUUUUUUAAGAUUUCAUAUCGGUGUAUUGUUUAUUGUUUAUUUUAAUUUAUUUACGCGUUGAGUAAGACACUUCAUAUAAUACUGUAAGGGCGUUAAAAAAUAUUUCAUACGCUAAAAACAAAUCGUAACGAUUUUCAUCGGAACCCGGCCAAGAGGAUGUGGGAAAAAUAAAUUACUGUACUUAGCAGUCCAUUCAAGACCUAUACGCUGCCACUAGUAAGCAUCUCCAUUUUUUCCAUUCAAUGUCCAGUCUAAUGUCGCAUUCUCAUUUAUCAACCUCGUAUCCUUCUAUAGUCUGUACGAUGUCUUUCCAUCCUAGUAUCUUGUAAAACACUUAUAUUUAUAUAACUAACAUUAGUUAUAAUUUAUUUAUAAUUAUUCGAUAUAAAAUGGAAAAUUAAUAAAUAGCUAAAAAAACUCAUAAA